AUUGAACGCUGGCGGCUGGCUUAACACAUGCAAGUCGAACGAGCUGCGGACGGGUAAGUAAUGUCUGGGAAACUGCCUGAUGGAGGGGGAUAACUACAGGAAACGGUAGCUAAUACCUCAUACCAUCAGAUGUGCCUAGAUGGGAUUAGCUAGUAGGUGGGGUAAUGGCUCACCUAGGCGACGAUCCCUAGCUGGUCUGAGAGGAUGACCAGCCACACUGGAACUGAGACACGGUCCAGACUCCUACGGGAGGCAGCAUUGGAGAAUAUUGCACAAUGGGCGCAAGCCUGAUGCAGCCAUGCCGCGUGUGUGAAGAAGGCCGUCGGGUUGCAAAGCACUUUCAGCGAGGAGGCGUUACUCGCAGAAGAAGUACCGGCUAACUCCGUGCCAGCAGCCGCGGUAAUUC
rnacentral:rRNA from 1 species